GUUGGCAUGACACGGGUUAUGUUCUUCUCAUAUAUUUUAUGAUAGUAUGAUACUAAACCCCUAACGGGAGGGAUUGUACCUGAUAUUCAUAUGAUGAAGACAUAAUCUUUCAAUCAGUUUAAUUGAGGUCUGGAGCUGGCAUGUCAGUUAACUGCUAGUAGUCUGUUGUUAUUUAUGUAUUAUUGUCAUUUUAUUUAUUUUCUUUUGUUACAUCUUUG
rnacentral:lncRNA from 1 species